rnacentral:tRNA from 1 species
GUUUUAAUAGUUUAAAUAAAACAUUGGUCUUGUAAACCAAAAAUAAGAUUCCCCCCUUUUUUUAAAACU